CCUUCGGUCUGGCGUUCAACACUGGAAUUGAUCUCUCUUCUGACUUCUGCUGCUGCUCCCAUGAAAUCAACGGCUCGUGGCUCUGUGUGGAGAAAGGCAAACCAAAGUGAAUUCAAACAUGGAAGGAAAGGCAGUCUAAAAAAGAAGGGAACAUGCCUAUAACCUGGACACCUUCGACAUGUGUUUUGGAAAGACGAUUAUGCUUUAACAACAACAGCAACAAUGACAAUUCCAGCUUAUUUCAGCACACUUCUUCCCUUGUCCCCAGACGGACAGUUAGGACAUGUCUCCACUGCUAUGAUCGCUCUCCCAUCAACUCAGGCACUCCACCAGAAUGAGAAGAUUAAUGUAAAUUGACCAGAGAGUGGAGCCAGCCGACCCAGUGUGGCGUAGACACUGCCGUGAGUCGACCUAAGGUACGUCAACUCCAGCUACGUUAUUCACAUAGCUGGAGUUGCGUAACUUAGGUUGACUUACCCCCUGUAGUGUAGACAAGGCCUUAAUGUCAUCUUUAACACCAUCUAAAAGGCUGUCGGACUAGGGGAGGUUUUCUCUUCAGCUAAGGGAAAGAGAA